AUUGAACGCUGGCGGCAUGCUUUACACAUGCAAGUCGAACGGUAACAGGCCUUCGGGUGCUGACGAGUGGCGAACGGGGGAGUAAUGCAUCGGAACGUACCCAGAGGUGGGGGAUAACGCAGCGAAAGCUGUGCUAAUACCGCAUGUGAUCUGAGGAUGAAAGCGGGGGACCGAGCAGCAAUGUUUGGCCUCGCGCCUUUGGAGCGGCCGAUGUCGGAUUAGCUAGUUGGUGGGGUAAAGGCCUACCAAGGCGACGAUCCGUAGCUGGUCUGAGAGGACGACCCGCCACACUGGGACUGAGACACGGCCCAGACUCCUACGGGAGGCAGCAGUGGGGAAUUUUGGACAAUGGGCGCAAGCCUGAUCCAGCAAUGCCGCGUGCGGGAAGAAGGCCUUCGGGUUGUAAACCGCUUUUGGCAGGAACGAAACGGUGUCCGCUAAUACCGGGCGCUAAUGACGGUACCUGCAGAAUAAGCACCGGCUAACUACGUG
rnacentral:rRNA from 1 species